rnacentral:rRNA from 1 species
AAUAUUGCGCAAUGGAGGGAACUCUGACGCAGCGACGCCGCGUGAGCGAUGAAGGNCUNNGGAUCNUNAAGCUCUGUCCUUGGNNNNNAAUGCUGUUGACGAAACAGCUUGACGGUACCCGAGGAGGAAGCCCCGGCUCACUACGUGCCAGCAGCCGCGGUAAUACGUAGGGGGCAAGCGUUGUCCGGAAUUAUUGGGCGUAAAGUGUGCGUAGGCGGCCUUUUAAGUCAGAUGUGAAAGACCACGGCUUAACCGUGGGGUUGCAUUUGAAACUGGAGGGCUUGAGUAUCGGAGAGGGUAGUGGAAUUCCCAGUGUAGCGGUGGAAUGCGUAGAUAUUGGGAGGAACACCAGUGGCGAAGGCGACUACCUGGACGAAAACUGACGCUGAGGUGCGAAAGCGUGGGGAGCAAAC